CAGCAGCCGCGGUAAUACGUAGGGUGCGAGCGUUGAUCGGAAUUACUGGGCGUAAAGCGUGCGCAGGCGGUUAUAUAAGACAGAUGUGAAAUCCCCGGGCUCAACCUGGGACCUGCAUUUGUGACUGUAUAGCUAGAGUACGGUAGAGGGGGAUGGAAUUCCGCGUGUAGCAGUGAAAUGCGUAGAUAUGCGGAGGAACACCGAUGGCGAAGGCAAUCCCCUGGACCUGUACUGACGCUCAUGCACGAAGCGUGGGGAGCAAACAGGAUUAGAUACCCGAGUAGUCCCUGUCUCUUAUACC
rnacentral:rRNA from 1 species